AUGGAAAGAAUAAAAGAAGAUUAUGAAUAUGCAAAAAUUCUUGUUUCAAAAUUGGACUCAGCUUGUGAUAUUAACUUUGAUUUACUUCAAAAAAUAGAGGAAGAAACAUAUUUACAAUUUAAGACGAAAAAGAGGAAGUUAGCAGAGGAUCACAUAAAUAAUAAUACUAUAACUACUAUGGAUGUGGAUAAUAACAAUAUCAGUUUGGAAACUAAUAAUGUAAAGGAUGACAUAAAUGAUAAUAAAAAGGACACAGUAAAUGAAUAUAACAAAAUAAAUAUAAAUACUGAACAUGUUGGUAGUCCAAUAAUAUAUAUUAUUGAAGAAAAUAUUAAUAAUAAUGAUAUAAAAAAAAAAUUAGAUAUUCUGAUUUUAUAUUUAAGAUUUGUUCAUAAUUUUUGUUAUUAUUCUGCUAAAAAAUAUAAUACAUAUGAUGAAAUGGUAAGAGAAUGUAAAUAUUUUUAUUUAAGAGUUAAUUUAAAUUUAGAAAAAAAAAUUUAUAACAACAGUUUAUUACCAAAAGCUUAUGAGAAUUAUAAUAUUAAAGAAUUAGAUUUUUUUUUAGAUGAUAACUUUUUUAAUAUAAAUGGUAAUGUCAUGACAGAUAUUGUUAAAGAAGAGAAAGGAAAUGUAAAUGAUGAAGAUGAGAAAAGUGGACAUAGUUAUAAAAAAGAUUUUGAAAAUUUGUCUAAACUAAAAAAUAAAUAUUUUAAUAAAGAAGAUGAUAUUUCUAUUUGUCAACUAAAAUGGCUUUAUAAUUUUAAUAAAGAAAUUAAAGAAGCAAUAAAAAGUAAUUAUUAUGAAUAUAUAGAUAUAGAAAAAACGAACGAAUUUUUACAAAUACUUGAAAAUAAUUAUAUAUUAAAAAGUAAUGCUGCCACUACUGCUACUACCACUACUGCUACUGCCACUACUGCUACUGCCACUACUACUACUGCCACUUCUGCUACUACUACUACUACCACUACAAAUAACACUAGUAAUAAUAAUGUGACAAAAAAUGAAAUUAGAUGCGCUAAAUGUAAAAAACUUUUUAAUAAUAUCAAAGAUGUACCAAAUCACAUUUUUAUGAAACACAGUCAAAUAAAAAUCAAAUUAAUAACAGAAGUAGAAGUAGAAAUCAUGCAAAAAUAUUUUUAUGAAAGUCCACAUAGUUUUAAUUUAUUUUUUAUGAUGGAAAAAAAAUAUAAUUCUGCUUAUAGAAAAAAUACUUUAAACAAUACAUUUUUUAACAAAGGUAAAAUUUAUAAAAAUCAAAAUUUCCAUUUAGUAACUGAUUAUGAUAAAAAUGAUUAUAAAGAUUUUGAUGAUCCAAACUUAAACGUUUUGGAAGAUGUGAAGCAUGAAGAAAAUAAAAAAAAUGAUUUUUACGAUGACACAUAG
rnacentral:lncRNA from 1 species